rnacentral:lncRNA from 1 species
GGUUUUCUGUGAGUAGCUUAUUUAGCCAGCUAGCAUCCUUCUACGUUGCUGUUGUUAACCAAAAAUUAUUCAUGUCUUGGCCGACAGGUUAUACGUCGCUGAGCAAAGCAGACAUUAUUUGCGAGGUUUGGGGGGACGAAUGAUUUUCUGCCUAAAAAGACAGCAUCACGGACGAUGAGAGAAAAGUCGUCAUAAAACUGCUGCCAUUUGAAAUUAGCUUAUGUUAGGACAACGGCCGCCGCCUAACUUUUGACGCCGUGUAGUUAUGACCUUUAAAGGAUUUAAUUUGCAUUUGGUUUGUGUUUGUCAUCGAGCAGGUACCCAGCAAAACGUUCAGUUUACGGCUCCAUCUGCUCCUGCAAGCUGCAGAGGGAUAUUCCCUCCGGGACUAAAGGCUUUUUAAAGCAGACCUCUGACGCUGCCAGCCUGCACACACACUUACACUUUCCUAAGUAGCAGCCGAUGGCAGGUUAACUCAGACAUGAAUUGGGAAAAUCAGCUGAGUUCUGUACUGUCUGUGGCAGAUGGCAGCGUUGCAAAGAUGAGGGAGAGACUGACCUCACCAGGGAAAUUUUCAAAAGGAGGAGAAGAUUUGUUUCCAGUGCGAGAACGGAUUCAUGACUCAGACUUGGACCCUCCUGCUCUUCCCCCUCGAGCCCCCCUUCUCCGACAAACUUCUCCAUCCCUUAGUCCUGGUGUGCAGUGGGCAGACUUUGCUGCCAUCCAGUCACAACUCCAGAUACAGAGCCAGGCAAUUGAGUCUCUCACACAGAAAAUCCGUGACAUGGAAAGAGAGAAACACUCGCAACAACAUCACAUCCAGACACUAGAAGAGGAGGUUCACAGGCUGCAUGAUGCGCUGAGGGACCAUGAAAGAGAGAGGGAUGAAUCGAGGAAGGGACAAAGUCCAGGAGCGGACAUAAGGAUAGAGCAGUGGAGGAGAGAGGUGGGACGGGAGCUGAGCAGUCUGCGGGGACACAUCACCAGAGCCACGUCGCUAGGCAACCUGGAGGAGAGUUUUAGUUCAAAGCUUCGCAGAGAAGAACUAGAACACCUGCGGAGAGAGGUGGACCAACUGAAAAAACGGCUGAGUGAGUCAUUCACACAUUUACACACAUACCCUUGCAUCAAUUCUGCGGGACUGCACUUGUCAUAA